rnacentral:sRNA from 1 species
GUCGUUGGAAAGAUCUAGCAAAGCAGUCAAGAUAAGACGUAUUCCUGUUGUCAUCAGUAGUGUACCGUCCCCUUUUUGAACCAGCCGUUUUUUGUUUCCCGCAUACCGCUGAUCCGGCAUCACCUUGAUGUUUGACGGCACUUUAAAAGAUUGAUUUCAGGAAAGUUUAAUAUGUCUACAGUUACCGGUACCGUUAAGUUCUUCAACGAAGCCAAAGGCUUUGGCUUCAUUAAUCGCGAAGGCGGUGCAGACGUUUUUGUUCAUUACAGCGCUAUUCAGGGCGGCGGCUUCAAGACUCUGGCCGAAGGCCAGCAAGUCAGCUUCUCAGUGACCGACGGCCAGAAAGGCCCGCAGGCAGAGAACGUUGUUGCCCUGUAAAUAAAACAGGAUAACAGUGUUGGAAAAGGCAGCUUCGGCUGCCUUUUUUGC